rnacentral:rRNA from 1 species
CAGCAGCCGCGCGGUAAUACGGAGGGUGCAAGCGUUAAUCGGAAUUACUGGGCGUAAAGCGCACGCAGGCGGUCUGUCAAGUCAGAUGUGAAAUCCCCGGGCUUAACCUGGGAACUGCAUUUGAAACUGGCAGGCUAGAGUCUUGUAGAGGGGGGUAGAAUUCCAGGUGUAGCGGUGAAAUGCGUAGAGAUCUGGAGGAAUACCGGUGGCGAAGGCGGCCCCCUGGACAAAGACUGACGCUCAGGUGCGAAAGCGUGGGGAGCAAACAGGAUUAGAUACCCCGGUAGUCCCUGUCUCUUAUACA